CAUACACUGAGUACUUAGACGUUUCGACGCACAACGAGGCAUCGGCAAUGAUUUUCCAUUUAUUGACGUUUACGUCGCCAUUGGGUAAUAAUCAAACACACAAGGAAUGCCCGUUUCUUGUAAUUAUGAUAAAAGAAAAGCGUUGGGCGCAUUUAUGAUGCAAAACAGCUUAUAGCUAAACAGCACCGGUUCAAACAUUCUGUAAAAUACAAAAGUCUUCGUUGAUAAAAUGUAUACAAGACCUUUAGCACCAUAAAAAACAGUAAAACAGAGAAGUCUGCGAAAUAACUAUGACGGUCAAAAUCAUUUUACCGCGUGCAUAUACAAACAGUGCGUCACAGUCACAACUGCAUUGAACAAAAUGAGAGUGCAUAUUUCUCUCUGAGUUUUGGAGCUUUAUGGAAUAAUUUGGACGAUUUGGAAGUAACAAAAUGAAAAGAUGGAGGGAGCUGAAAAAUCUUUAUGACAAAUUACGUCUCAGAAUGUCUGCCGUCGAAAACUACCAAGGAUGGACUGGGAUGGCAAUAACAGGAGACGAAAUCUGCAUGCAAAGAGAACUGUAUUGAUUUGAACAGGCCAAGAUGUCUCAAGUUUUACAAGUAUAUGGAAGUGGUGUGUGACUGAUUUUCCACAGCAAAGUUAUGGAGACAAAAUGAGAGCACUGUAAUGAUUUGCACAGACCAAGAUGUCUCAUGUUUUACUUUCAAACUGAAGUGAUGGGUGACAGGCUUUUACUAGCAAAAUUGUGGAGGAAAACUCAGGCUGCCAAACAGACAAGAUGCUAGAGUUCACAGUGCUGUGUGCUUUUUUUUUGAUGAAAAAAAAACAGAGAUAGACAUUUUGCCAUUGAAAAUAAUAGACUCUGAUGUAUUUCGUAUUAACGUGUAUUGUUUUCUUCUGUUGAUAUCUGCCCGUACAAGAGGCAAUGCCCGUAAAAGAGGCACUACUAUUGCUUGAGUUUGCUUUUUCAUUUAUCAAUAGUAACAACAGUCACUGUAGAAAAUUACUCCGAGAUCAUGAGUCUUAUAGCCUCUCCUGUCUGUCCGAAUUUAUACUAUGCCGACUUGUUUGCCGGGUACACUGUCCAUACCCAAUACUAAAAGAUAAGGGUAUUCACCAGUGUGAAUGAACAAGUUCACUCACGCUGGUUGUACCUUUGCUUAUUUAGUGUACUUAUCAGACAAGUUUGGCCUUUAACAUCUCGGAGAAAUAUCAUACAUCAAGUAACUCUUUUGACCCGGAGACAUUCUUGCCCCAGAUCUUGCAUUGGCAAAAUCUGUGACAAAAAUGUCUUCGAGUCCUCUGACUCUUCGAGUCAAGUGGGAUAGAAUCGAACCCGAACAAUCGAUUGUCAUUUUUCUUUCGUUAUGCUGCGAAUGGAAAAAGUCCCAAGUAUUUGCACAGAAUGUUUCUCGCUCCGUUGACGUCUCGAUGAGUUUUGUAAUUGCAACUUUCACAAGUAAACGUUUCCUUUCCACCGAGUUUGUUGUUCUUCACACCGCAAUUACCACAGGUCUUUGAUGUGUAACGUUCGUCUUGUGUGAUCGCUUCGCAGUCCGUGCCACGAACUCUGUGUAACAGUCUCUGUCUGAAUCUGUAGUGCUGCCAACACAGCAAAUCUCUGUUAGCUCUUUUGGCAAGAUGGUUCGGUCUGUCUUUUCUCACGAUGGACGAAACCGAUAUCUUGCCAAGAACGACCAGUUUGUAAUUCUCGACCAGGUACGAGCACAGCUUCAAGUGCACGUCGUCGACGUACGUUUUCAAUUUGAGGUGCAGCUUCUUCAGUUGUCCGAUUCUGUCUUGCACCGCUUGCUUCUGCUUU